GGUCUCCUCCCACCUCGGGAUCCCCCAGAUCCAAUCAGCAGCCAAACACCACAAGCCUUCGAGACAGCCUCCUCCCCUGCCUCCCGGACGCGUCCAUGGAUGCUCGCGGCUCCCUUCGUCCGUGCGCAAGCAGCAACCAGGAGCCCGAGCUCUUCCUCGGCCUCGAGGAAGGCCAACUGCGUCCAAGCUUUGCCAAGUCUGCAGCAGCAGCCCGUGCAUCUUCAGAUGCCGCCGUCUCCAAGCAACAACCCGCCACGACCGAGCCCGUACUUCCAUGGCCCCGUCCUCCCUGUGCCCCAGUGCCUCGUCGACCCCGCCGCCUCCAGGAGCUCUGGCCGCCGCCGUCGACCUCCCAGGCCAGAUCCUCUCCCCUCCCCAUCUCCUUCUUGCUCCUCCACCUCUCUCUAAUAUUCUCUUUCUCUCCCGUUGCAAUCAGGAGCAGCCAUGGAGGCGCCGAGGUCCUUCAAGCCGUGCCUCGAUCUACAGCUGCCGGUGACCGGAGUCGUCAUCGAGCUCGGAAAUGGGACCCCCUUGACCGGAUCUACCCGGCCCGCCGGCAAAGAGCCCCAUCGGAGCCGCCCUGCAAUCUCCUGCGUCGCCCUCUGUUCGUCCCUGACGAACUGAGCUAUGCAGGGUACGCCUACAGGUUGUGCGUUUUUUUUUCUUUUUACUAUAGAACGUCCGAAGUUGUAGUUAUAGAAAGCCUUGAUGUUGUUCCCUUUCGCAAGCACGUUGUUAGCCGAGCUGGUAGCGAGCCGCACUCUGAACCAAGGGGUCUCGGUUUCGAAUCCCAGACAACCCUGUUGUUUAUUUGAUUUUUGGUUCAGGUUCAGCGUGUUGCUUGUUCAUGUAGUAUAGGAAUAUCUUUUCCCACAAAAGAACCACCUUGCCCAGCUGGUCAUCCAAGCGACCUAGCAAGCUGAGGUCCAGGGAUCAAAUCCUGCUGGCGCCCCUUUUGUUUUUUUUGUUUUUUUUCCUAUUGCAGUAGGAGUAGAGUUAGUUUAGUUAGGUUAAGUUCCCAUCUGUGGUCAGCUGUGCUACAGUAGAAUAGUGGUGUGGUGUUCUGCAUAGGGUACGCUAGGUUUAGGGUUCGAUUCCCCCUGCCCCCUUUUUAUUUUCUUUUAGGUGAGUGUGUGAGCGCAGUGCUAGUGUGUUUGGUGUAGCGGUAGGGGUGUGUGUGUUGUCGGGGCAUGGCCCACUUGCAUACACCCAUUAGGGCCCCUGGGGAGUAUGACCAGUGGGACCCCCUGAUGUUUAUAAGAUUUUUGUUUAGUUUAGUUUUUGUGAUGUAUUUCCAAAUCUGGAUUAUUCCAGAAGAGGAAUAUGCCAAAUCUGGCAUAUCAAGAACAUCCCCUGUUCUUGUUAUUAGCGGAGUUUGAUCUUGUGUAGUUUUUCCUUUGCUGUUUCUGGUAUUUUCUGCAUGCAUAUAUAGCAGUGUAAUAUAUGGAUUUGGGGUAGAAGAACCCAGUGAAUCCAAUCGUGGCACUGGAUUCCAGUUGUGAGCAUAUAGGCAGAAGUGUCACUUUGUGAUAAGGUGGCAUUUGUUUAUCGAUGUAGGAUGGUUUAAGUGCAUCAUUAGGGGUUGGGCAUCCAUGCAUCAUAUUGGGUAGUGCAUCCUGUUGUGCAUGUGUUGUGGUGAAUAUUGUGUGUUGAUUCUUGUUUCCAUUUGCUUCGUCUCGUUAGAGUUCCGCAAGCGUGUCGGAAACGUGAGGAUCCAUUCAACCAUGUCGGUUCGUCUGCUUCAUGGAACCGUUCUUCUUCCAAGCGGGAUCUCAGGCAAGAUGACCAUUUCCCCAGAUACCAUUACUAUCAUUGCCAUGCUAGUUUUAUCGCUUCUAUCGAUUACGUCUCGUUGCCUACCACAUGUUAAAUAUCAGCCUCCCAACAAUGCCAUGAAAGCUUCAACCUGUUCAACCUAGCAAACCACUGAUUGGCUAUGUUACCGCUUGCUUAUCCAUGUUGUUAGCGUUGCCAAUUGCAGGUACAGGUAAAGGUUACUUGACGCGAGCGCGUUGAUUGUUCAUUUGGAGUUGCUUCUGCUUCUUCUUCAUCGAUCUAGGAAGGGUUCCAGGCCGGCAGCCUGGGAUAGCAAGGAUGGACGUCGUUCUUCUUUUGUCGUUUAUUUUCGUCCCUAGUCGGACCCUGCUCUUACUCUUGAUGAUUAUGUAAUGUACUGAUGUGACUCUGAUGUAGCCUGUGGCGAGUGUAAGCUAAUUCCAUAUAUCUCUUCUUUUCAGUACAUGUACUUGUAACGAUAUCCGUUCUUGCGACAUGACGAGAUGCGUUUCUAUCCCUGACGAGGCCCUCGUGCCAAAUUGAGGAUAGGGUCGCAUCUUGGGCGUGACAAGUUGGUAUCAGACCAGUACCGACCUAGGAGCCCCCUUGAUUGAUCGAAUUUGGCCAAGUCGAGUCUAGUGAAAACUAUUUGAGUCUUAGUUAUAUAUCGGAGAGUAGGAUUCUUUUUUCUCCUCUUCUAUGCUAUGGUGAGGAAUCUUGACGUAAUAAUUUACUCUACUCCUUUUCUCACUCAAAUUUUUUUAGGAUCACGCGGAUAUAUUUGGAAUCUAUAUGAUGCCGAUGUGACGGAGUUCUGUCUUGGUGCCUCCUGUCUGACUUGAUCUUCUUCCGGGGAGUUGAGCUCCAGGGGAUUCUCGAGCACAUCGUUAUCAUUCAGAUUUCUUAGUACCUCAGAACGAAGGAUGUUCGUAAUUGCUUCAAUACUAGUAGUGGUGAGAUAAUCCCGAUGUCCCCAGUACUGGUGCAGAUUGUUCGGGAGUACUGCCAUACUUUGUAUCGUUGUGAUCACGAGGGUAUGUAGUAGAUGAAGGUCCGAGAUUCUGGUCGUGUGUUGACGGAUGUGAUACAAGUGACGGGUUAGUAUAGGAGUUGUGUGAUUAUUACUCCUUGUAUCCGUGUACCAGAUUGCAUGACCAGAUAUUUCGGGAAUUCAUAGGUGGGAAUUCAAGUAGUUGCUUAUAGGACAAUCUUCCAACAAAUGCAUGAUGUUAGGUUGGGGUUCGACAUCUAGUGGAUUCGUUUGUUCACGGUCGACUUACAGCGGUACACGUUGUGUCUUAAAGAGUCCUUGUAGCUUGCUAAGACUCGGGGACGCUUCGUAUGUCGUGUGCACUGCCUUGCACUUGAUGGCUACUGUAAAAUCGAGCCCGUGCGAUCCUGUCCACGAAAAUAUCGGACGAAAUCUUUCUCAUGAGUUUGUUCUAGCUUGUUUCAUAAGCCUCAUCCCUUUGUUUUGCUGAAUGUGGUAAUUCAAGUUGCUUCGAUGUCAAGUGGUGAUUUCAGAUCUUUCCUAAGAGGUGUUCUCAUAUUUUUAUGAGAGUAUUAAUUCUUUUGCUCUAUCAGAUUGUCUUAUCAAUUCUUGUCUACCGGAGUUGUCAUGUUAAUUUUUUUUCAACCGGUGUCCUUCUCUUUAGUGAAUUCAAUCCUCUCCAAUUUUUGCAAGAUCAUUCUCUCGUUUUAUUCCGCAGUUCAUCUCAUCUGUCCCAUGUUGUCUUUGUUUUCCCGCCCUCCCACCUUUUUUCGCAGUGGCUCAAUUUUCUUUUCAUUAUGCUUCCGUUGUGUGUUCUUUUCUCUCUUACCCGGUGAUUCAUUGUGAAGAUUCUCAGGAGUCGAAUUCAUCAUUUCUUCAUUUUGUUCUUUUCCGGUGAAUUCAAUUUAGUUGUCUGUGUUCAUCAUAUCCUUUUCAUACUUGUAAUUAUUUCCUAUGUUGGAAAUUUUUAUCAGUCUAUUUUCUUGUUGUUAUUUCUCUCUAUUCUAUCCGGAGCGUUAAAGUUAUCUCAGAAUUCUUGUUCUCAAUUCUUUAAUUAUUUCGGGGUGCUAACCUCAUCUAGUUCUCUUCAUACCGGUGCAAUAUCUAUCGUUCUAAGAAAUCUUUUCAUCGGUGGUUUCUUUGAGUGGGCCCAUAACCCACAGGUUCUUUCCCAGGAUCUUUCCUGGCUCUUUUAAUUUCUUUCCGGAGAUCUUUAAUUCUUUUCAACUAUGAUGUAAGUAUGAAUUUCAUCAGUCAUAUCCCUUCUCCAAGGCCUAUUUGAAUUAAUUGUCUUAUUUCGCUCAACCUUGCAUUCUUCUUUAUUCCGGAGUGUCUCAACUAUUCUUGCUGAUGUUCUUCUCGUCAUUCUCUCCAUUGAAGAUUCGAAGGAGUGUUUCUCUCAGUCUUUUUCCAUUCUUGUGAAGAUUGUCAUCUCAGCUUCACGUUAUCCUCUCAUUUGUUGUCAAUCAUGAGUAUCCCUUUCUUGCUAUUCGGUGCAUUCUGAAUUGUUUUCAUUCUCGAUCCUCCGAAGGCCAUCAUUUCAAAAGAUUCUUCGUUCUCAGCUUUUAGCUUUCAUCCUCAAUUCUUCUCAAUUGUUAUCUCUUCGUUCGUCUCGGUUAUUCCGACGCUUUGUUCAAGUUUUCUCUCAGGUGGUUCAUGAUCUCUUCAUUCUCUUGCAUCUCCAUUAAUUCUUGGUUGCCUCAUUUAUUUCAAUUCUCACCGGUGCCUCUUUCAAGAUUUCUUCUAGUUUGUGCUUAUAUUUCUCCUUAAUCAUUUCAAGAAGAAUAAGUGGUAUGCUAGAUCCGUUGCUUGUCAUCAAUUUAACUUGAUGAAGGAUAAGCAUAACAUAAUUCUUAUUCUUGUUAUUCCUUCUUCCAAGUGAUUUCAAUUCUUCUUACGGAGUGCCUCACGAUAUCAAUUCUCUUCUCUAGUGUUCUUAUCUUUCUUUUCCGGAGUUCCAAUUUUUCUCAAGUAUCUCUUCAUGUUGCUUCAUCUAAAUCCUGGCAAGGUCAUAAUUUUAUUCUUUUCUACCUUCAUAUCUUUGCAUCGUUCAUUUGUAUACGGAGGUCCUUCUUGGUGGUGCAUCAAGGUUUUAAUCCAUUAUCAAGUGUUCUUCAAGAUUCUUGUUGGAGAACCUCAAGUAUCCUUUCUCUUGCAUUUCUAUGUGCAAUUGUUCUUUCCUUAUCCUUGAGGUGGUAUUAUAGCAUUUUUGUUAGUGUAGGAGUCUCGAAGAGAUUUCCUUUCAAGAAUGAGAUAAUUAAACCCACCAAUUCUAUGAUCAUGAGAUAUUUUCAACCCAUGAUUUCUUCAUUGAGCUAUCUUGGUUUGGACUUCACCUAAAACUUUUCCUAUGGAUUGUGCUAUCAUGGUGCUUGUCAUUAAUCCGAGUUCUCAAUGUAUCCUCUUGGUGUAAGAAAUUGUUCAUAUCUUGUUUCUCCCAAUCAAUCCUUGUUUCUGUCAGUGGCUGGUUGUCAACUCGUUGUUUGAAAAGGUCUCCAUAAGCCCACUACUAUCUUGUUCUUUUCGUUGUUGUUUUCCAACAACUUCGUUCAAUUCUCCUUGCAAGGAUGCUUGCCAAGUUCAUUUGAGUUAGUAGUGGUCAUUCUCUCUUCAUUCUCUUCUUCCGUAUGAGCUAGUUCCUAUUCUAUUGUUCCGGAGGCAUUGUGAUGUUGCUCUUUUGGGUCUAUUAUGUUGUUCUGUCAAGAUCAUGGUGUUCCCUUGUUAUAUUUAGUUGUUGGUUGUGAAUAUUGUCUAAUUCUCCUACCUUUUCGAAUUUUUUGUCCCAUUUUCCUACCGAAGUGCUGCCGAAAUUUUUCGUGAGUUCUGGCUUCUUUCUCAUGUCAUUCCUCAUCUCCUUGCAACCUUCAAGGGUCGUUGGUUUCACUCGUUUGUCAAAGAAGCGACUAAGUUUUUACCUCUUGUUCUUUCUCAUCCUCUCCCCCUUUCAUUCUUGGAUCUCGGGGCGAAAUCCUCUUGUAGUGUAGGAGAGUUGUGACAGCCCGAUGCCGACGUUCCAGAAGAUUCCCUCUCCUUCCGUUCUUGUCGUGUGGUUAGUUUAAUUUGUUGCAUUAUCAUCGCAUCAUGCGCAUCAUCUGCAUUGCAUCGGCAUCUCCGUGCCGCCAGUUUUCAAACUUGCAUCCGUUGUUAGUUGCCGGUUCGCGUCGUUGUCCGUUCCGAGCCCGACCGCACACGCACGCGCCCGCGGCAUCAUCGUAACCCUGUUUUAAAAGUGUGCGUAAAACUUUCUCUGGUCGGGUUGAGAUUUGACGUGCGGUCUUAUUUUAUAUAGCUAGGCCGCCUGACGAAUUUCGUCGCGAUCGGAGUUCGUCUGGUACCCGAACGGUCGACCGUAGCGGCACCGUAUUCGGUCUAUUGUCGCACGUGUGUCGGUGUUUGAAACCCCGAUGCCGGGCUGCCCGUUUUCCCUCUCAUCUCCGCCUAGCCUCUCUGCACAGUGCACCGACCUGCGCGCAAUCCAGUCCGAAAACCUCCCGGAACCCGAACCGGGCGAUCGUGACCGUUGGGUCCGGAUCAACCCCAUUUUACCGCAAACAGUCAUCAGUUUGUCCAAUGGUCUCCUUAACCUAGUUUUUUUCCGACCGUCUGAUUUAAUAGGAGGGACCAAAUAACCCCUAAUCUAACCCAAGCCACCUAGUCUAAACCUAGACCAAUCCCUAAAAAUCCUCCCCCUGUCCUAUGGACGCCGCCACCCACUCCAGGUCUCCUCCCACCUCGGGAUCCCCCAGAUCCAAUCAGCAGCCAAACACCACAAGCCUUCGAGACAGCCUCCUCCCCUGCCUCCCGGACGCGUCCAUGGAUGCUCGCGGCUCCCUUCGUCCGUGCGCAAGCAGCAACCAGGAGCCCGAGCUCUUCCUCGGCCUCGAGGAAGGCCAACUGCGUCCAAGCUUUGCCAAGUCUGCAGCAGCA
rnacentral:lncRNA from 1 species